CUGAGCAUGAUCACAACAAAAGUAGCUGUGCAGCACGUUUUUUAAUGAAGAGGAGGAUGGUUGUAGACGUUCACAUUCCUGCAAGAAGAUGUCAGACACCGAGGCUGCCAGUACCUCUGGGUCGAUAGUCCAUGUGUUGGAUGAUGCACUGCCGUUGAUCAGAACAGACAGCGUAUACGAGAGAUGUCAGCGAUUCGGGCUAAACAGCCAAUGACCAAGGGAAAGCUGGGACAAAUGAGAGGCUCACACGGCAGAGCAGGCAACAGAUGGCACACAGACAGCAGAGUUGGGGACAGCUAUGCAGGGACAGACUGGCAGAGACAGGGAGUCUCAGGUAAGUUUGUUGAGUCUUUGUUUGGCAACAUUAUGAAAGGUUCUCAAUUUUUUUCACUUGUAAAAUAGGAACAUAAUUGGAAAAUGCCAUGGAUACCCCCACUCUCAACUUAAACUGGUGACUGAACUAAGAUUUGUUAAAGGCAAUGGUAUUGCUGUUGUGAUUAGUUGUGUAGUUUUGGGUACCGGUAGUUAGGAGUACGGCAAACACCUUAUUUCUUUGGUUCCUCAAUAUACAUUUACCAUAUUACAAUGUAGGCUAUGUGUUACAGCACUACUUUUGGUGUCCCCCUCAGGAAUUGCUCUUUAGAAAAUUUCAUGUAAUUGUCCCCUCCAAAGUUGAUAUCAGAUUUUCGCCCCUGGUGACAGCCCACUCCCGUUUUACACCUUGGGCAAAAUGUUGAAUAUUUAGAAUUGAUCUUGUACAGUCUCUCUGGUGUAAAGUAGACCCUAUGUAAAAUAUUGAAUUGCAUCAACUUGUGCCUUGUGUUAAAUGAAAGACGCUGAGCAUCUAAAAAGAGCUUUCCCCAUUUCUUAUCCUCAAAAAUGAGACCAAGGUCAUCAUGCCACUUCAUGCAAGCUUUCAGUGGUUCAUCAUUCCCCAACAGAGCUUGAAGCCAAGAGUACAUGUAGGAAAUGAAACCUUUUACCCCUUUCCUUUCCAGCCACAGUUUAUCAGUUUU
rnacentral:lncRNA from 1 species